rnacentral:rRNA from 1 species
GACGAACCGUGCAAACGUUGUUCGGAAUCACUGGGCUUAAAGGGUGCGUAGGCGGACUUCAUAGUCGGGGGUGAAAUUUUGCGGCUUAACCGUAAAAGAGCCUCCGAUACUGGAAGUCUCGAGGGAGGUAGGGGUCGAUGGAACUUCCGGUGGAGCGGUGAAAUGCGUAGAUAUCGGAAGGAACGCCGGUGGCGAAAGCGAUCGACUGGAUCUCUUCUGACGCUGAGGCACGAAAGCCAGGGGAGCAAACGGG